UACGUAGGAUGCAAGCGUUAUCCGGAUUUAUUGGGCGUAAAGAGGGCGCAGGCGGCUUGGUAAGUCGGUUGUAAAAUCUCCUGGCUUAACUAGGAGGGACCAUCCGAUACUGCCGGGCUAGAGUGCAUCAGGCGGAGAUGGAAUUCCCGGUGUAGUGGUGAAAUGCGUAGAUAUCGGGAGGAACACCAGUGGCGAAGGCGAUCUCCGAGGAUGUUACUGACGCUGAGGGCCGAAAGCGUGGGGAGCGAAC
rnacentral:rRNA from 1 species